UACGUAGGGUGCGAGCGUUAAUCGGAAUUACUGGGCGUAAAGCGUGCGCAGGCGGUUAUGUAAGACAGGUGUGAAAUCCCCGGGCUUAACUUGGGAAUUGCGCUCGAAACUACGUGGCUGGAGUGUGGCAGAGGAAGGUGGAAUUCCACGUGUAGCGGUGAAAUGCGUAGAGAUGUGGAGGAACACCAAUGGCGAAGGCAGCCUUCUGGGCCAACACUGACGCUCAUGCACGAAAGCGUGGGGAGCAAACAGG
rnacentral:rRNA from 1 species